UACAGAGGGGGCAAGCGUUUGUUCGGAAUUACUGGGCGUAAAGGGCGCGUAGGCGGCCCGUCAAGUCCCGUGUGAAAGCCCCCGGCUCAACCGGGGAACUGCACGGGAAACUAGCAGGCUUGAGUUCGGGAGAGGGAAGCGGAAUUUCGGGGUGUAGCGGUGAAAUGCGCAGAUAUCCGAAGGAACACCGGUGGCGAAGGCGGCUUCCUGGACCGACACUGACGCUGAGGCGCGAAAGCUAGGGGAGCAAACGGG
rnacentral:rRNA from 1 species